rnacentral:lncRNA from 1 species
UCGGAUUUUGUCUAAUGCCUAUUCCGUUGCUGUGUGUGCUACAUUUUCAUGUUGUGUCGUUGCUCUCCUCUAAUAUUUAAUGCGUUUCCCUCAGUUUUAGUUUUUUACCCCGAUUUAGUUUUUUGUCCAUAGAUUUAUGAGUUUUGAACAGCGGUAUACUACUGUUGCCUUUACUUGAUACUUCGAGAUGUUGUAACAAAAC